rnacentral:rRNA from 1 species
UACGAAGGGGGCUAGCGUUGCUCGGAAUCACUGGGCGUAAAGCGCGCGUAGGCGGGUUGUUAAGUCAGGGGUGAAAUCCUGGAGCUCAACUCCAGAACUGCCUUUGAUACUGGCGAUCUCGAGUCCGGGAGAGGUGAGUGGAACUGCGAGUGUAGAGGUGAAAUUCGUAGAUAUUCGCAAGAACACCAGUGGCGAAGGCGGCUCACUGGCCCGGUACUGACGCUGAGGUGCGAAAGCGUGGGGAGCAAACAGG